UACGUAGGGUGCGAGCGUUGUCCGGAAUUAUUGGGCGUAAAGAGCUUGUAGGCGGUUUGUCGCGUCUGCUGUGAAAAUCCGGGGCUCAACCCCGGACUUGCAGUGGGUACGGGCAGACUAGAGUGUGGUAGGGGAGACUGGAAUUCCUGGUGUAGCGGUGGAAUGCGCAGAUAUUAGGAGGAACACCGAUGGCGAAGGCAGGUCUCUGGGCCACUACUGACGCUGAGAAGCGAAAGCAUGGGGAGCGAACAGG
rnacentral:rRNA from 1 species